GUCGAGCGAACGGAUGAGAAGCUUGCUUCUCUGAUGUUAGCGGCGGACGGGUGAGUAACACGUGGAUAACCUACCUAUAAGACUGGGAUAACUUCGGGAAACCGGAGCUAAUACCGGAUAAUAUUUUGAACCGCAUGGUUCAAAAGUGAAAGACGGUCUUGCUGUCACUUAUAGAUGGAUCCGCGCUGCAUUAGCUGGUUGGUAAGGUAACGGCUUACCAAGGCAACGAUGCAUAGCCGACCUGGGAGGGUGAUCGGCCACACUGGAACUGAGACACGGUCCAGACUCCUACGGGAGGCAGCAGUAGGGAAUCUUCCGCAAUGGGCGAAAGCCUGACGGAGCAACGCCGCGUGAGUGAUGAAGGUCUUCGGAUCGUAAAACUCUGUUAUUAGGGAAGAACAUAUGUGUAAGUAACUGUGCACAUCUUGACGGUACCUAAUCAGAAAGCCACGACUAACUACGUGCCAGCAGCCGCGGUAAUACGUAGGUGGCAAGCGUUAUCCGGAAUUAUUGGGCGUAAAGCGCGCGUAGGCGGUUUUUUAAGUCUGAUGUGAAAGCCCACGGCUCAACCGUGGAGGGUCAUUGGAAACUGGAAAACUUGAGUGCAGAAGAGGAAAGUGGAAUUCCAUGUGUAGCGGUGAAAUGCGCAGAGAUAUGGAGGAACACCAGUGGCGAAGGCGACUUUCUGGUCUGUAACUGACGCUGAUGUGCGAAAGCGUGGGGAUCAAACAGGAUUAGA
rnacentral:rRNA from 1 species